rnacentral:lncRNA from 1 species
CCAUUCUUGCGGCCUUCCCGGCUCACACACCUCUCCAUCACCCCAAUUUCGUAUACAGGAACCGGCCCGUCACUUUUGCCUUGCCCAGAAAUUGAUCAAGGCCUGUUGCUUUUGAGCCAUUUCAAAGUGAUGAAUGUUAUUAAGGCCCAUCAGUACAUUGACAAAGAUGGACCUGGCCCUGACCCAAAAGACACAUAAGGGGCCUUGCUUCUCUAAUACCAAUCGUUACUAUAUUGCAAA